UGCAAGUCGAGGGGUAACAGGAAGUGCUUGCACUUUGCUGACGACCGGCGCACGGGUGCGUAACGCGUAUGCAAUCUACCUCUUACUGAGGGAUAGCCCAUGGAAACGUGGAUUAAUACCUCAUAGUAUUAUAGACUGGCCUCAGUUUAUGAUUAAAGGUUACGGUAAGAGAUGAGCAUGCGUCCUAUUAGCUUGAUGGUAAGGUAACGGCUUACCAUGGCAACGAUAGGUAGGGGUCCUGAGAGGGAGAUCCCCCACACUGGUACUGAGACACGGACCAGACUCCUACGGGAGGCAGCAGUGAGGAAUAUUGGACAAUGGGCGAGAGCCUGAUCCAGCCAUGCCGCGUGCAGGAAGACUGCCCUAUGGGUUGUAAACUGCUUUUACAGAGGAAGAACCCUCCUUACGUGUAAGGAGCUGACGGUACUCUAUGAAUAAGGAUCGGCUAACUCCGUGCCAGCAGCCGCGGUAAUACGGAGGAUCCAAGCGUUAUCCGGAAUCAUUGGGUUUAAAGGGUCCGUAGGCGGGUUUAUAAGUCAGUGGUGAAAGUCUGCAGCUUAACUGUAGAACUGCCAUUGAUACUGUAGAUCUUGAAUUAGUAUGAAGUGGUUAGAAUGUGUAGUGUAGCGGUGAAAUGCAUAGAUAUUACACAGAAUACCGAUUGCGAAGGCAGAUCACUAAUACUAUAUUGACGCUGAUGGACGAAAGCGUAGGUAGCGAACAGGAUUAGAUACCCUGGUAGUCUACGCCGUAAACGAUGGUUACUAGCUGUCCGGCCUAAUUGAGGGCUGGGUGGUUAAGCGAAAGUGAUAAGUAACCCACCUGGGGAGUACGUUCGCAAGAAUGAAACUCAAAGGAAUUGACGGGGGCCCGCACAAGCGGUGGAGCAUGUGGUUUAAUUCGAUGAUACGCGAGGAACCUUACCAGGGCUUAAAUGCAGUCUGACGUACUUGGAAACAGGUAUUUCUUCGGACAGAUUGCAAGGUGCUGCAUGGUUGUCGUCAGCUCGUGCCGUGAGGUGUCAGGUUAAGUCCUAUAACGAGCGCAACCCCUGUGGUUAGUUGCCAGCACGUAAUGGUGGGAACUCUAGCCAGACUGCCGGUGCAAACCG
rnacentral:rRNA from 1 species